rnacentral:lncRNA from 10 species
GAGGCCUUCAUGUUCUUGCCUGACCACGGGGGAGCAGAGUGUGGUAUCUAUUAAAACGUUUGUUCAGAUGCCUCACAGUGCUGGAAUAUCUUACAAAGGGGUACAAACACUGCUUGUUCACAACUUACAUUUCUUAAUUUUAUCUAUUUAUUUAUUUACUUAUUUUAGAGACAAGGUCUUACUAUGUUUCCCAGGCUAGACUUGUACUCUGAGGCUCAAGUGAUCCUCCUGUUUCAGCCUCCCAAGUAACUGGGACUACAGGUGCAUGCCACCAUGCUCCACUAGAACUCACAUCUUUGGAAAAAACUUUCUUGAUAAAAACAACAAACUGUCUUUUCAAUUAUAAUAUAUAAUUAUUGUAGAAAAUACAGCAAAGCAUAAGAAGAAAUUAAAUUUCCUCAUACCUAUCACUGGGAGAUAGCCAUGAGUAUUAUUUGAAGAUAUUUUCUAUUUUUUUUUUUUUUUUUUUUGAGGCAGGGCCUCAGUUUGUUACCCAGUGGCGUGAUCUCGGCUCACUGCAACCUCCACCUCCUGGGUUCAAGGGAUUCUCGUGCCUCAGCCUCCCAAGUAGCUGGGAUUACAGGUGCACGCCACCAUGCGUGGCUCAUUUUUUUGUAUUUUUAGUAGAGACGGGGUUCCACCAUGUUGGCCAGGCUGGUCUUGAACUCCUGACCUCAAAUGAUCUGCCUGCCUUGGCCUCCCAAAGUGCUGGGAUUACAGGCAUGAGUUACCACGCCCAGCCUUGGACAUACUUUCACUUGAUCUUUUUUUUCCUGUGCACAUAUACAUUUAUAAAAUCGAAAGCAUUGCAUUCCUGAUUUUGUGUUUUACCUUUUUCAUCAAAUACUGUAGCACAAAGUAUUUACCAUAUUAAUAAACAUUCUCUGAAAAUACCAUACCGAUGACUACACGUAUGCACAUACACAUAUAAAAUAUAUAUAAACAUUCUUCUAUUGUUGCUAUUCUAAACAACACUCUGAUAACUCUCCUUGAAUGUAAAUCUUGUCCACAUUCUGAUUAUUUUCUUGGGGUAGUUCCCUAGAACACAGAAAAGGCUUUCAAAAGAACAGCAGGACACACGUGCCUUCAAGUUAAGCUAGAGAAAAGCCAUGGUUGGGUAUCAUCUCAGCCCACCUCCGAGGCGCGUGAUCCCUUCAGAGACUCGGGCCUCCCCGGGUCCUGGAGGUCUUGGCUGCAGGCCCAUCAAACCACUGAGCUUCUCUUUUAAAGUUUCUUAAAUUUCCUGGCUUUUAAAAGAGAGAGAACUUCUUCAAUAUUUGUUCCAAAAGCAAAGGGAAAAAGUGGAGGGGGAUGUAUAUUAUUCCUUGAAAGAGAAAGUAAUAUAUUUUUCAUCAGUGUGAUCUUAUCCCACACAUCUCUGAAGGACUAGUAUUAAAGUCUACUCGAGUUCACAAAAUGUGCUUUUUCCUUACAAUGACCUUUUGUUAGAGGUAUUUGAGGUUUGUUUUUAUAAAUAAUUCUCACUUAAAUGAGAAUCUCUUUAUAAAAUUAUUUCAGAAAGCAGUUACACUGUAUCAAGGGGCAAAAGAUUACCUUUACCAGCUGGGCGCGGUGGCUCACGCCUGUAAUCCCAGCACUUUGGGAGGCCGAGGCAGGUGGAUCAUGAGGUCAGGAGUUCGAGACCAGUCUGGCCAACAUAGUGAAACCCCGUCUCCACUAAAAAUACAAAAAAUUAGCCUGAUGUGGUGGUGUGCGCCU